rnacentral:piRNA from 1 species
UGCUGAGGCUUAUUAUGUUGGUCACCACGGC